GAUGAACGCUGGCGGCGUGCCUAGUACGUGCAAGUCGAGCGAACAGACGAGGAGCUUGCUCCUCUGACGUUAGCGGCGGACGGGUGAGUAACACGUGGAUAACCUACCUAUAAGACUGGGAUAACUUCGGGAAACCGGAGCUAAUACCGGAUAAUAUAUUGAACCGCAUGGUUCAAUAGUGAAAGACGGUUUUGCUGUCACUUAUAGAUGGAUCCGCGCCGCAUUAGCUAGUUGGUAAGGUAACGGCUUACCAAGGCAACGAUGCGUAGCCGACCUGAGAGGGUGAUCGGCCACACUGGAACUGAGACACGGUCCAGACUCCUACGGGAGGCAGCAGUAGGGAAUCUUCCGCAAUGGGCGAAAGCUUGACGGAGCAACGCCGCGUGAGUGAUGAAGGUCUUCGGAUCGUAAAACUCUGUUAUUAGGGAAGAACAAAUGUGUAAGUAACUAUGCACGUCUUGACGGUACCUAAUCAGAAAGCCACGGCUAACUACGUG
rnacentral:rRNA from 1 species